CCGGCGACCGGCGCACGGGUGAGUAACACGUAUGCGACCUGCCCCCGCAGGGGGAUAACCGGGAGAAAUCCCGACUAAUACCGCGUAACGCCGCGGACCUGCAUGGGUCUGCGGCCAAAGGAAGCGAUUCCGGCGGGGGAUGGGCAUGCGGCGCAUUAGCUAGUCGGCGGGGUAACGGCCCACCGAGGCGACGAUGCGUAGGGGUUCUGAGAGGAAGGUCCCCCACACUGGUACUGAGACACGGACCAGACUCCUACGGGAGGCAGCAG
rnacentral:rRNA from 1 species